CCUAAUGAACGAAAAACGCUUCCUUCAUUGUAGAUACAUAUUUUUAAGAUUAACUAUUUAGUGGAUUAAAUAUUUGAACAAUGCAUUUUUAGUAAAAUGGCGGAAGUUGGAUGCUGCAGUAGAAUGUUCCGUGACACCGGAAAUCUCUUUGGAAAUAUUUGAAUCCAAUGCAGACCGAAAUGUACGCCGCGAUCAAAGGGUGGAUCAGCAUUUUCAUUUGUUUCAAGAUCAAAGUGUAUAGACGAACCUCUAAAGCUUGUUCGGCGAGUUUCAAGUCCAUUUCGCGAUGCUCGGAAAGCAUGCUCAAUUAAAAGGAGCGUGCAGCGGCCUGGGUAUUGUUCCACAAAGUGGAACGUUAUCCUUUCUGUAAACAAUUUCGCACCAUCGAUUCCUUUGCAACUUACAUAACCAGUAGUUUCCACUGUAAUUAUCAACGAACCAAUUAACGUUUGAGAAAAGUGUCGCAAAAACGGACAAACAAUCGUCGUGGUUUAGCGUUACCUCUGCAACGAUGAUGAAGCGAUCGAUCCGAUCACUUGUUUAACUCGCAGCGCACUGAAGGAGCGCGAGUAACCUGGAAAAAAAUCGAGGGCCCAGGUCCUUGAGUUCCACACAGGAAACUGAAACGUAGAUUAAUAUCGUUUUACUUUGGAGAAAUCAUAUAAUGGCAUGAUACAGCUUAGUGAAAUUGUCGGCCGCGUAUGUGUAACUCUAGGAAGAGUUUGGAGCCCUGGCAUUAUGCAAAUGCAACUUUAGAAUUGAAGAAGGUGAAGAUUUCACUUACGGUAGGAGACACGCGACGGGCGACGUCAUUAGCGCGCAGACGAGCAAUUUCGAUUCGGACGUCGAACUUUCUAACGAGCUGACGACUCUUGACAAAUCUGUCAUUAGCAAACCGGGCGCGUGCAACGAACCUCAGCAACAGGCGGUCGAUCCGCAGCCUAACGCUUCGUUAAAAGCUAUUACCUUAAACGAGCGAACAAAUACAAAUAGUCUCCGAAAGAGGAAAAUUUCCGUCCGCGAUCGCAGACGAGGAACCUUUCCGAUCGCACGCGUUCACGAGAAAAUUGUCGCUUCGUUCACCAGAGGUAUUUACUUUCGAUGGAAGUUGAGGCGCCUCUGAUUGCAAAAAUUGCACGGUCGAGUUUAAUGAAUUGGAAACAGGAAUACAGACACGUAAUUGCCAUUCGCUUAUGUAAACAGCAGUUUUGUUUAAGCGAAAUGUUAGAGUUCCCUGUGUCAACGUUACAGUUUCUUGAUCAAAAUGUUAACGCCUCAGAGAUUCGGAAAUAUAGAGGAUCGAUCGAAGCUGUUAUAAAUUAUUAAUAAUUCUAGUUUGUUUCGUAGCAGUUCUUCGACAGUGAUUAAUGUAUCCAAGUUCCAGCUCCCAUUCCCCUGGACGCCUUUGUUCCAUCUGUUCGAAUGGAUCGCUGGUUCGCGUCCGUAAAGGAUUUCGCAUAAUCGUCUCGGCGGCGUUAGGUCGCAGAAGCUGUUCGAUAAUUCACGAGGACAAGCAAACUUUCGAAAGCGACGGCAGGGAUUGACUAGACAUUCUUUGAAGUUUGCUAAUCUUUGCAAAUGAUUUCAUCGCUUGGAUCGAGAGUUGCAGUUUCAAAUUCUCCGUUUCAGGCUAUUCCAACGAAACAACAAGUUCUCGAGUUGGAGAUGAACGAUCGUUUCGAACAAUCGUGUGCAAGACAGUAAAGAUCACGAACCGAUGGGAAAUCAGCGAGAACCGUUUUAAUGGUCGAGAUCGUGGGCGUGACAGGGAAAGCUGCGAAUACUUUUGAUUGGGUUUAAAAAUGAAUUCGAUCUGUUUUUUUUUUUUUUAAAUAAGUUUAUCGUUUAUUAACAAAAGAUUCAUACAUACAUAAGGUAUCUUUCAAUCCUCGAUAUAUUCGCCAUUACUUUCGUUGACUUUGUCCCGUGUUUCAGGCAACUGUCGAGUCCCCUCUCGAAGAAAAGACGACGGUUCGAUGUAAUGAAUGCUUUUUUAGAUGAUAAUCCGAUGAGGCAAGGUCCUGUGAUCAAGCCGCACGAAGGAGAACCUCCCAGCCCAAGGAAGAAAUGACAUUUAAUCAUUUCAGUGGUAUCCGCAGCACUUUUCUUUAAUUGAAAAGCGAAAAGAAUACAAUGUCCAAUGUGAUGCUUGCCGAAUGUAAUCGUGUGUUGCUACAUGUUUUCUGAUGUAAUGUCGUCUGUUUGUUUGUCGAGUUGCUGUGAAAUGCAGUGGCGAAAUGCUGUGAAAUGUUAGAAGUUAGUGGUUGGAAAUCUGAAAACGGUAGGAAACAUGUUCGAAUCGAGAAACGUUUCAUGAUUUCGCGAAUAUUGGUUCUCAAUUGAGAAGGCAUCGAACGAAGUUUUUGCAGCUAAAUGCACAGAGUACGAUAGAAGUGGAGAUCGCGCUGAUUCGAAUCUUGCGAGCGCUGAUCAACGAGGAACGUUCGAACGGUGAUGGAAGUAUAGUACUCGAUCUCGCGAGUAAGGCAGUGAAAUGAUCGGAGAAAUGAGUUUUAAAUACUGAUGCUUUAUUUUAUAUAAAGUAUUGUAUAAAUGUAUAAACGCUAUAAAUAUGUGGUAUCUAUCUAUGGUGGUGGUGGGGUGCUAGUCGUGAUCGCAAAGAAAGGGUAUGACGAGGGCGGGCGGGGUCGGGGGCCGGCAGCGGCGCGCCAUCUAUUUACAUUCAUUCACUCACGGAAAGGGCUGACCUACCAUAAUCUACCGGUCUCUCUCUUUCACUAACAUAUAACACGAUUAUAUAAUAUAUGUGUAAUUGUGUGUAUAUAUACGAGUACACAUAUAGUAAUAGUGUGUGUGCGCGCGGGUGGCAAUGUGUUCAUAUAUAUAUAUACGCGAAGGAAUAGUAGUAAUAGUAUGUAUACAUGUAUAUAUAUAUAAAGAGAAAACAUAUAUGCGCAUGGACGAGUAAUGUAAUAAUAAUAUGUAUGCUUGAGUGCGGCAGUGAGUAUAACAACUUGUGAGCCCGUGGGUCGCGACCGGCUAGGAUCGUUGCCGCGGGUUCAUCAGAAAAAGGAGAAAGACAAAAAGAGAGAGUAGCAAAUAUGUGUGAAGAGCGGCGGCCUUACGGAUGGUGGAAGACGCAAGAGAAAAAAAAAAUAGAGAGUGUACUGCCGGAGCAACGGUGGGUGUUCAGAAAACAGAACAAGGCCCAGUUGGUCCAACGACGAAGCGCCAAAGCUUGCCCACGUGCCGGGUCCAUGGCGGGAGCAGCCGGGUCCAACGUGCUCGCGUUGACUCGAGUUGGCGCGGCAAAUAAUAGAUCGUUCGGGUAAUCGAAAGCUUCGAUCGGUCGACAAAAGCGUUCAGGAACGCCCCGUGCCGAGACCGGCCGUGGAUCACGAGACGCGGAUGUUGGAUCGCGGUGAAACUGUAAUCGCGGCUGGCAAUCGCGGCUCCGAUCGACGUCCUCCUGUCGCGUGCAGUUGAUGAAACGAAAUUGACUAAAUGUUCGCCCGUUCCGUUCAGGGACGAGCCUGGGUUCCGCGGACAACCGAGUGUGGUCGAGACGAGGCCGCGGAUCACGAAUGGCCGUACCACGGUGUUACACAUUUCCAAGAGAUCUAGACCCGAGAUCGAAGGCAGGAGAGCCGACUCUGAUCGGGCUUUCGGACUUCUCGCGCUUCACCGUGUUUCGAUAUAUACCGACUGGACUGCGAUUAAUAUUCCGACUAUAUACCGACUACACCACUAACGCCGGCGCUUUGACCAUGUCCCCAGGUUGGACGAAGCUUUGGGGAAGAAGACGUUGAGCGCGUUUGAGGAUCGUUUGAGACCGGUAAGUGACUGUGGUGGGAAUGCCGCCGUCGCCGAGCCGAGAUCGCUGGGGCCUUAGAACGUCUAGUACUUGCCGUAUCCCCCGAUGAUAGCUCCGUGGGAGCCGAGACCGGCAUGGAUAGCGCCAGACGGUCCGUUGAUCACAGCAACACCACCGUCGUGUCCGCCGAGACCGCCGCCGAGUCCGCCCAGUCCACCACCAAUACCGGCACCACCACCCACAACAGCGAUGGCACCUGUAACGAGGAAAUCGAAUCAUCGAGCAACUCUUUUUGUUAUCGUUACCAAGUGGCGCGUUUCGAAUACAGACCAGCACCAGCGAGACCGAGACCAGCAGCUCCAAGACCAGCGGGUGCAGCAGCGGCAGCGGAGCCGGAGCUUCCGUCGUCACCGUUGAUGUUUCCACUGCCAGCGAGGAGGGCAACACCGCCGGAGGAGGGUCCUACCAGGUUAGCGCGUCCUUGGGAUGGUCCAACAAGGGUGGAGGUUCCAGCAGAGGCACCUACACUGGUGAAUGGUCCAGUGGCGGGUCCUACGAGUCCAGCGGGUCCAGUACGGGGUCCACCUACGUUCUUGGCGCCUUCCUGGGGUCCAACGAGGUCAGAGGGUCCGGUCUGGGGUCCAACGUUAGCCUUGGGUCCUUCAGCGGGUCCAAUGUCAGCCCUGCCUCCAAUCACUCCUGUAUCAGAAGAGACCGGUUCGGGUGAAUGAGCGCUCCAUUAUUUUCGCAGUCUUCGUUCCUCCGAUCGAGCUAUAAUCCUCCUCUCUUACGCACCACCAGAGACAAUCUGUUGAACACCAGCAGCUCCAGCCGCUGACGCAGCACCAGCGGCGUAGCUGGCACCGAGACCACCGGAUCCCAAGGAGGACGCACCACCUUGGAGGGACGACGCGCUACUUGCUCCCGCCGUAAGACCUCCGGUAAGACUAGCACCGCCACCGUAGCCAAUGCCGCUGAUACCGCCGAUACCGCCAUGACCUCCAAGACCUCCAAGACCUCCAAGAGCAAUGCCAGGUCCAUGUGCAAUUCCAGCGCGGACCGUCGCCACGGCCAGACAGGCGAACACAACCUGCGAAAAAGAACAGGUUCACGAUCCUAACGAUCGUCAAGGGGCAACGCGAUCGCUUUCGCGUCGAGUGUACUCCAUCCAGGCUACCCGCAAAUAUCGAUACAACUCGAACUGUGAAAACUCGAGGAAGGCAAAAGCCAACAGUGAACAAAGACGAACUAUCCGCGUCGGUUUACGGAAGCGACGCGCUGACUAUCACCGCAGAUUCGGUCUCCCAUUGGCUUGGCACCGAUUACCAGGCGCCCGGUGGUAAUACAACCGCGCCUUUCACUUUCGAUACCUGCUCGCCUGUCGCCCGCGGAUCGCCGUUUUACACGGCAUCGGGAAACGAUUCUCAACACCUGGGAAAACGAUCCCGAUACAGACCGAUGUUUUCUAGACAACGCGGGCUCCGAGCUGUCCGCGUAGCAGGACCGCGCGGUUUCGUAAUUACGCCGAACGAGCCGCGACUCUUCUACCUUGUCGCACGGGAAAACUCGAGACAAACCGUUGCAAUAUUUCGCAAUUGGAACGAUCACGGACCGAUUACACUUUCGCGAGCUUUAACUAUCCCACCGUCCGUUCCCUCUCCCCCCAUCGUAGUCCACGAUCAAUCCUCCUGUUCACCACGCCUAACGACCAUAUUAGGAGAAGAAAUUCUUUCAGGUUACCCUCUAAUAGGUUGUCUUGUUGCCUGGAAAAGAGGCCCGCUCUCGUUUUAUGCAAUCGUUCGCGCACUUACAACCAGGAAUUAACGUAAUCGUUGACCCGGUCGAGUUCGUAAUUAAUCGGGGUGUCUGGUGAUAUCCAUCCGAAAACAACUGGAUGAUCGUUACCAGAUCCGAGCAAACUCGACCGAUUCGUUUUAAAACCACGAUCUUUUUUGAGAACGAUGUCGUUCGCUGUUUUCAUUCGGAAGAAACGAACGUUGACCGAUCGCGAGGAAACUGCUGCGAUCCGAGGAAACUCGAUCACAACCUAUCACGGGAAAUGCAAACCGUGUAAUCGACGACGGAUAGAACGUUGGACGCGUGUCACGCCCAGCUCGGGCCUCAAGUUGCACUUAAACGGUUCGAUCGAGUACUAUGCAUAUCCAGCGACUCGGUGGAACUUUCACAUCCCGUUUGCGCGGAACGCGGUGCUCGUGUGACGCGGCCAGCCGAGCAUUCUCGCGACCCGACGAUCGGGAAACGAGCAUUUCGAAACGAGUGAUUUCGUGCGCACUUUGCAUGGUUCGCGAGGAAAAACCGAGACCGCGUUACCGACAAGAAACUUCGAGUCAACGCGACGCUGAUUUCUAAAGCGAUCGGGUCCGCCACUUCUCGCGAAACGAUCAGCCGCGAAAGUAAAUCGAUUCGAGCUAAUUCAACUGUACGGCUUUCAGGCAAAGGAAAAAAAUCGAGUCGCGGCGCUAUCGAGAGGAAAACCGACCGGACGAGAGGAAGAGCAGCCGAGUUCGAGUGACGAACGGUGUUCCCGUGAAUGAAGAUGCGCCGAGGACAGAGAACCGGUCCCCGGUUGGUCUUGUUACUGAAUGACGAUGAUACUACUGCAACCGGUUUUGUGAGGCGGUCAGUGUACCGUGCAACGAGACCUCGUGCAGCAUGAAUGGAACGCGCAAGAAGGGCAAACUCGGGCCCCGUUUGUUCGUUCCCCGGCGCAAAAAGGACGAGAACACUCGAGCCGUGACAUUGAAACGCCACCUCGCCGACGAGACACGGCCUAUCCCGUGAAAGAAGAACGAGAGCAAAGAACACCGACGAUCGGAGGAGCGCUUUCCAUCUCUGUACCUCCCCGGCCGAGGUAAUAAGAGAUUACAAUUGAAUCGAUUUAUUUCCUGAUUGAUUCGAGGCUGUACUACCGCCGUGUUCCGCGCUCGUGAUCGAACCGUGCGCCCGAGGAGAGAGGAGCGACGCUCGUGUGUCCUGAGACGGCUGAUCGGAUUACGCGGCGGAACGGUUCGCGUCCCCAGUGGAAAAUUCAAAGAUAGUUGCUGUUGCUGCUGCUGCCCGAACGCGGCAUCACGAUGGAAAUAUUAAUUUGAAUGGAUUCAUAACCGACCCCGAGACGAAAAAUGUUUUCUGGAUCACUGUAUCGCGGACCGAACAGCGGAAGCGUUACUCGAAUAUCGCAAGAGACUCAACUGAACCGGAUGGCUGCGGCAAACCCGAGAAUAUUCGGAUACCGAUCGAACACCCCACGAAUCACCAACCCCGUGGUGGAUACUCACAAAGGCCUUCAUGUUUGGUGUGUGUAUGGUGGGCUGGUAGUCCGGUGAAUGACUGACUUGGGCCGGGCCGGCGGGCCUUAUAUACGCCUAACUCUACUCUGGCUACGCUCCACAAUCACCAUCCUUUCGAAAGCAAGGCGCUCCACCACCCUCCCCCCAGAAAAACUAUAAUCCACGCCGUACCAGCGGCUAGCAUAGACGAACGUAGUCCCACCAGCUGUCUUUGGGGCUAAAGGGGGGUCCCCCCUUUUACGUCGCCGAUAGAGGUUGCCGUUGUAGGUUGUUCGCGGGUAUUCCACGGCUUCGUCCAACGUCUAACGGCCGAGAGAACAGCCUCCUACUCCACCCGCCCCACCAUCUUGCCCUACACACUCGGCAUCCAUACGCCAGGCCACACCAAGUGCAACCAGGCACCACCCGGGUUACCUGGUCACCUACGAUACCCAACUCUCUCGUCCUGCACGGGAACAAGCCGCACGAAACUUCGUGCUAACAUCGCGCUAAGCUCUUCCCGGUCGCAGGACCGUAACAAUGCCUCUGUCCCUGCCCCUGUCCCAUAACGCGGCUACCUUUGCUUCCGGUCUUCCUUGAAAAACGACUGUUAUUCCGAAGUUGCACACGGUGAAUGUUUAAUUAAGCGAUCUCGAUGCUACGGGCUGCGGACCGCAGUUUCCGCCGCGCGACCUUUGUGUUCGCAGUAGACGCAACAUCGUUCUCUGCGCUGCGGUUCCUUGACAUCGCUAGAAAAUUAUUGCCAAUUUCCAUUAUGAGCUGCGAAUCGAUCGUGAAGAAGCGAUUGUGCGGUACGAACAUGUGCAACACAUAACACGAGAUAUGAUGCAACAUGUACGCAAGGAUACGUUACUUUAGAGAAAUUGCGGUGUCUCGAUGCGAGACAUCGAAGAAUUUUCAUAAAAUUCAAUCUGAUAUGACAUUUUGAUCAUUUGUAACCUUAUAAUAGGUUCCUUUUCAAAGUUCGCGCGUAUUUUCCACGUUCGCCGGUUGGAAGUGCUGGCGCAACACGUGCACAUGGAAAUUUGGAGUUUACGAGGACGACUAUGUCCCCGGUAGAUCCCAAGGGUUUUCCUUCACAACCGGCAUUAUGUGAAAAAUUUUAUUGUCUGCGAAUGGCGAGAGGAAGAAAGAAAGGAAGAAGGGAAGAAACGCAGAUCCAAGAAUGGCGACACGCGCGGUCCAAAUUAUGGGCCGCGGUCGUUACGUGGAAAACGAGGUCUUCGCAUCGAAAAGGAGUUUCGCGUUAGUAGCAAACGCGAAACGUUCUAAAGAGAUAGAAUUACGGGUCGUUGAAUGGCCUUAAGAAACCUGAAUUCUUUUCUAAAUAGAUUGCCUGCCGUCGCCGCCGCCGCCGUCGCUCGUUACUUAUUACCUCAACCUACUAAUUCCAGCUGGCACGCUGCAUUAUACAGGAACUUGGAAAUAAUCGAGCCACCGCCGAAGGAUCUCGCUUAAAUCGUAGCUGACGAUUUUUAGUUACAGUUACAGCGUAUUGUUUUCCUUAAGCGAUGCUCACCGAGGCUUCUCGAUCUAGUUUGCGUCAAAAUAGAGUUUCCUUUAAGCACUCGAACGUUAAUUUCUAUGUAGUCUUACAUGAAUAGUGCAAAGAGAUCAAACUUAUUGAUACAGUCGAUUAGCCCUUUGAGAACAAGCGUCGAACGUUUGAGGGUUUAUUGGAUCGCGGUACGAAGCCGAGAAUGAUAAACCGAUGUAACGAUGCGCAUGCUUUUUUUCUUACGGAAUUGUUCGGACGAGCAGGCUAUUUUCACUUUUACGAGACCGACGUCGAUUGCGUCGCGUCUCUUGCGUUCCAUGGCACACCGCCCUGAGAUAUAUUUAUAGAGAUAACAUUAUUCUACGGAUCGCGAGUUGCUGCAAUCUACAUAAUUGCGCAACCGGCGAUCAGAGCGGUUGUUCAUCAAGGAAAAAUCGUCUGAUAAACAGACGAGCAUAACGGUUUCGAUGGACGGUUUUUGCCCCGCGGUAUCUUGGAUCGCGAGGCGCGAUUCAAUGCUGAGAGGCGCGUGCACUCGCGUACGCGCGCGCGAUCGCGCGACGAAGGAGGGAAAUAAAAAUAAAGGGGAAACGAGACGACCCUGGGAAAAACGCGGAGAACGAUGAUGUCUCAAUCCAGAGUCGCGUCGGCGGGAAUCGCGAGAGCCGAGUAAUUAAGUCAAAACUAAUUAGUCGUCAUUUCGGGCGCGAUUCUGCGGCCGUAUCACGGCCGGCUAGAUUUCCGGCUCGCGCGAAGUGAAAGCCAUUAUACAUAUUAUUUGGCGUUCGCGAAAAAAUACCUGUCUAUCGCGAAAGUCGCCCGCGCGUGUCUUUUCUCGGCAGCCCUGACCGGUUUCGAAUAUAUAAAGCGAUACGGCCGCCGCUGUUCGGUUCUUAUCGUUCUCGCUCACCCUCAGUAGCGGGAUCGAUUCGUGCUGCGCGAACUGCAAUUAACCGUACUCAUUAUUCAUUUAUCGGAUGCCAUGUCGAUUAAUCGUCAUUGGCGAGAAUAACGUUGCGCAACGGGAACGUCGGACGCAUUGUAGGGUCGAUCGAGGAAACAAAACUCUUCGCGGUGUCGCGGAGAAAUGGAAGGGGUGGACGAUUCGAUUAGUUUACGUUAAUAAUUAUUUCUUUAUAAUUGCACAAUGCUUCCUUUGUACAUGGAAUCAAUAUCUGUCAUAAUUGUGCGUCAAAAUUUAUUAAUUGAACGUUUAUUGGAAUUCUUCGGGGAUAUAGUUGCAUGGGUACGUGACCGUUUUGACCUUUCGGAACUAUUAUACGCUCUCCAUUGACUAUCGGAUAGCUCGCUGUCGCUACCUGAUCGCUGUAUCAAAGAGUCCGGUUCUGAUAACGUAGCUUUCUCGAUUCGUGUCUGGUCCUCUCCUAUAAGAGCUUGGAAAGUAUAAUAGUUUCAUAGGGUGCCCGAAUUAUUAAUGAAAUCUUAUUAAAUGGAGCUGAUUAUUCUGAGCAUUAAGUUAAUUAAUAUUGAGUCCAGGCUUAAUGUCAGUGUGCAUAUUAUACAAUAAUAUAUUUCCGUUAGACUUGUAUAUAGUUUGGGGAUCAAUAUCUUAAAAUACUAAACGUAUAUCUAUCCGGUAAGAUCUGGAGCGCAGGUUAAAAUAAAACUCGGCAAAGGUUGAAGGAAACAGUGUCCUACGGAUAUGGAUUUACUUUUUCAUUUAUACACCGCUAAAAUUUGUGCAAUGAAUUUUCCUUGCUGAUAUAUUUUUUAAAUGUUCAGAAUUGAUUUCGCGCAAUGAAUCAUUAUUUUUAAGAUGUUAGAACAUCUUAAAUAAACAUCUUUUUAAUUUCCUCUCAAUGGUAUUUAUUGCCUUAAAUUAAAUAAGAAAUGUGCAAAACUGAUGAUGAACGCACUACUAAUGUUAAGCGAUUUUAGUUAAGGAAGUCAUUAAACAUGAAAGAAAUAAUUUGAAUUAGUUUUUACAGCUUUUUCAAAUCAAAUAGUUACAAAAUUUAAUAAAUAAUUUAUAGGUGAUUAAGAUUGGACCUCAAACCUUGACCUUACUACAAAUAUUUUAAUCAAUUCUUUUAUUGCAUUGUUUAUUUAUUGCAAUCCUAAUUACAAAAAAUUAUUUGUUAUUUGAAUGAAUUUGUAAAUUUCGAAUACUGAUGUAUGAAUUUGCAAAUUAAAAGUUCAUCUAAAUUAUAUGAAUGUGUGCUUAAUGUAACAAUGUAUGUAUAGUUCAUUGGUCAAUGCAGCAAUGAAAAUAUUGUCUAAUAAAACAUGCCCAUUUUUCACUUUGAGAAACGAAAUAUUUUUGAAACAGAAAUAAUUUCUGAUAUUGGCAUGUAUCAAUUUCUCAGAAGGCAUAAAGGCAAUAUUUUCCUUUACUAAUCAAUAAAGCUGCCAUAUUGUCGUAAACUGAUAAUCAUAUGGACCAACGAAAACUUCACAACACUCUUUAUUUGUAUUCUAUUUUCCUCCGCAAUUAGUGACGUUUAGUGCAAUUGUCAAGUAUUAAAAGCUCUACAAAAGUAAAUCACACAUCACGUUGUCACUCGCUCCAUGAAAAAACCGUUUUCGGAGAAUAUGUAGCAUAUGACUGGAUUCCCAUUCACAUAAUCUUCAUAGAAAACCGAUUCUAUCAUCAUUAUUGAAAUCCUGGAAUUUGAAAAUCGGUUCUCUUACAGACCCUGGUCACGACCCAGUUCGUCCGAUUUCGUCGAUGCAAAACAGUUUUCCUAGCGAACAAACUUUCAUGUCGGCGCGCAUCGCGUUGCCACACGCGGGGAGGCAAUUAACGCCGUUCGGCGUUUUUCGCGGCGGUGCACCGUUAUGAAAUCGGUCGACGGUCCUGCCUCGAGGGUGAGCCCGCGAGAAAUAGUAACGGCGCGGUUCGAGUUGUCCAUGCUCCCGUGAUUCCGUGAUGAACUUUGAUACCGAGGCGGGCUCGAUCGUUCACUUCCACGGCAAGCAGCACACGUCGCCGUUGCACCGCUCCACGCCGUUCUCAUGCAUCGAUCGUACCAAUCGGAGCGUGUCCCUUUCUCUAUCCUGCGAGCGGAGCUUAAGGCCGGCUCUCCAUAGCCGGGACCGCAUUGUGCGCCUUCGUUUCGGCCGAUUCGCGGCGUUUUUCGGCCGAUAAAACACACCGGUAUCCACCAUAUCCAACGGCGUCACUUGAUCGGUUUCCAAAGUGCGGAAUCGUUUGUGCGGACCAGGGUGACGGUCAUUACAGCAGUCAUGGGAUUAAUUAAUGACAGACACCGAGAGAGGCUAAUGUACGACACACCUCCUCGAUGAUUCUGUAAGCCGCGUGAGAGAGUUGCAGACGGAUUCCAAAGAGUAUUUGUUUCGUACGAACUCGUCGUAAAGAGUACUCGGCUGGCAGUCAGAUAUUUACUGCGUACUUAACAGUGUGCAGUCGUUUAUUUAACCCCUUCCCAGUGCCAUAAAUAUAUGCCGAACGAAGAGGCUGCUUCUGAGUAGUGCCACUUAUAAGCGGCGCUGAACCAUCCAGUUUGCUGGACUCCAGGGAUCGAGUUUCGGAAAAUUGAGCGAUUUUCCACACGACGUUUUAAUCGAAUUUUCACGAAACUUUUGGAUAUUAUCCCUUGGAUGGCGAGAAUUUGGUUCAUUCUGAUCCACCGUUAAAAACGCUCCGUUUCAAGUUCUAAGUUAGCAGCCAGUUUCAGCCAUCAGCUUUCUUAAUCGCCAAUGGUAAUCUUAAAGUGGUGGAACCAAAAAGAUUUCAAUGGAUUUUGGCUGACUUGAAACCGUCAAAAACGUUUUUCACUCAAGCGUUAAAAAAGAAAACGAGACACCACGUUCUGCCAUGAUGUAUUGCAACUCCCAUGAUUUCAUAUUCCUAAGUUGCUCGUAGUUUCAUAUAUGCAAAUAUGGGAAAGAUCACCAUUUUCCAGAAAGUGAUCAAUUUCAAUUAAAAAGUUGUGAGCUUACCUUCUCUCUCUCUCUCUCUCGUUUGAAUAUAACUCAAAGAAAUAUAUUGGAUAUGCCACAGGGUUAUAUAUUACAAUAUAUUACCUUUUUUACAAUGAACUUUUCCUAUAGUAAUUUUAAUAAGUUAAAAACAAUAUGUCCACAUUCUCAAGUUCUGUUAACCUUUCUACUGUUUCAACACUGUACUUACUCAUUUUUGUCAUAAAUACAUACAUUAUAUAUAAUACAUACAACAUUUCUGUUGCAAACGAUGAUGAAAUUUCAUACAUUCAUGUUUGCCAUUCAUUAAACAUCAAUAUUUAUCAUUUAUGAAGCUAGCGUUGAAACGUUUCGCAAUCAACGAUUCGCCAAAAUGUUUGUUAUACUUCAAAGCUGUUAAAUAAAAAGACGACAUGCGAUUUUGCCAAAGCUACGAGCGAGUAGCUUAGAAUUCCCAGAACGUUGUGACCUUGGCGACAAGGUUGCUCGACGGAAGCGGAGUCGGAUCCCCGUAAAUCGUGGCUGUUCGAACGCUUGGGAUACCAGACCGUUGAACUGUCGCCAAAAGACCACGAUAGAGUUUCCCGAUUUUCUACCACGAUUUAGUAUACAAUAGCUCGCAAGAAAGUUACAAUGGACGAGUGUUGUUGCUUCGCUUCAAGAUGCCGACUCUGGGGAGCCUUACAUACUCGAAGGUAUAGAUACACUGUGGAACGGUAAACACAGCUGGGCCAUAAACAAGCGUUUGAGUACCGAAAUCAACAAUCUAUAUUAUUAUUAUCUGUCUAUAUUAAUUUAACGAAUUAAAUUUCUCUGCGAAAGUCGUUGGAAUUGGAGAUCCUUUACUUGGAAAUUCAAACUAUACGAAUUUCUGAUUAUAAUCGCGCAGUACUCGCUAUCCCAGAAUACUGCUUCUUUAACUUUGUAACGGUGUGCUGUUUCUUUCGAACAUAAUUUCCACACGUUUAAAAUCUAUAAACAAUUCUGUAAAAUUUGCUGAAAUAUCGUCAAAUAUACAAUUGGUUGGAAAAUGUUCGGACGAAGCUAAAGAAGUUAGUUAACUUCAUUCUGGUAGUGUGAUAUUACAAGAUGAAGUAAAUGGUCGCCUAUAAAACAUCCACGAAUUCAAAAUAACUUCUACUAGAAAAGAGAAACCGGAAAAUUGAAAUUUGUCAUCGUACUACUUUCUUUAAACUUUUGAAUUUCGUAAACGCUAUCGAAAAUUGAUUAUUUUAAUAUAUUGAGCUGCAUGUACAAAUUAAUUUGAAAAGAUCUAGAUUUAGUAGUAUGAGAUAUCUAACUGAAGCAAUCCUCAAAAUAUUGUGUGUGUGUUUGUGUGUCAUGAUUAAUGUACAUACUUUUCAAGAAGAGACUUAGUCGAUUUCUUCAAAAGCACUCCAUACGUCUUGUACAUCUUAAAGCUGUUUUUUGACAUGAGAAGCUUGAUAUUUUGCUCUACGAUCCUCUCGUUCAAAAUAAAAAAAUGGGACCUCGUUAUCGCAUAGUAAGAUCACACCAUUAGAGUUCAUCAAUAAAUACAAUAUUUUGCUAACUUCUUACGCAUCAUUUCGCUGACUUCUUACGCAUUAUUUUGUUUACAAACUGUUACCAGUCGCGUUACUGCAAUACCAGUCUAAGCAUAAAACUUCUACAGUACUCAUACCGAGAAUGUCGUCUGUAACAAGCAAAUAGUAAACAUAACAUGGCAAUGAACAUAGGGAACUGAAGGCCAGAUAAUCUUGCUAGAGCUACCUUUCUACACUUUUGUUGUGAAUUGUAGGCCUCAAGGGACGAGUAGGCGAGCUCUGGAGCGAAGAGGAUUAUCUCCGACCUCCGUUGGUAGAGAAACUUCGAUAAGACGGUGGACGAGGACGCGCGACGCCAAUGCUCUAAUUUUUAUGUAACAUCAGGAUGUGAAACCGGAGAAAUUUUCGCGGCAGCGCAGCGGGGAUCCGUGGGAAACGCGUGUCCGUUGCACGCUGCUGGAGACGAUAGUGGAAGUCUGCGACAGCGUAAUUGCCGUCUGACGUAGCCGGUUGAUGUGCACCGACUGCACCGCUCCGUGAUGUACUAUACAGUAGUCCGGGUCAAAGAAUUCGGUGACAUUUUGCCAGAUAGUCAACUUUUGUCACAUCGAUUUGUAGUGUUUUCGAAAAGUCUAUGAACCAUAGACAUAAUUUAUGAAGACAGUAUGAUUUAUUAUAGCAAUUAAUUUUGGAACCUCCUUACAUCUUGUAGAUCCUAAUCAAAUUUAGCUCACUUAAUAGAUUAUAAUAAGUUUGGUACAAUAAUUUUGUCAGUACGUAAUAGAACAGUAAAAGUGCUACAGAAUGAAGGAAUUCAGAAAAUUGAAAAAAUAUCUUAGUUAUUGUGAACGCUUAAAGUUGAGCAUGUUGAAUGUAGCAUAAUUUUUAUCUCCAUGAAAAUAAUAAUAUAUGAAAGUAUAUUUCUAAAAAUUUCAAUCACUCUCCAUGCAAUUCAAAAGUUAUAUCAAAAUGUUAUUAAAUUCUUUGAUCUGGGCCAUUAUGCGCCAGGAAUUGCGUUUUGUGCGUUUUGUGCAGCCUGCAAGAUACACGCACUAUCAACCUGUAGCAUUUGCUCCUCGUAAAAAGAUGAUUUAAAAAAAAACUGAGAUAUUAAAAAUUAGAUUUCUAUCAGGUACACACAAUACAACACGAUAGUUUUGCGAAUCUAAUAAUUUAUUUAUCAGCUAUGAGAGUAGUAAAGUACAUACAGCGAAAGAACAUAGAUAAGAGAUGUAAUUGUUUUCAAAAUGGGCAAAACAUGUUUCGAAUCUUCUUGGAGAAGUUAGCACGUUGAAACGUCUGCUGGAAGAUUCUUGCAUGCUGUUACAAGUUAAUGAACACAGGAUUGGAUGAAGUACCAUGUGCUUCUGUAACCUGUUGCCAAGAAUUUCUCGAUGCUAAUGUACCGAAGUUGGGAUUACUGUAACGAUCUUUGCCAGGUGAACAAACGUGACAUAUCGUUACUGUUACGUCUAUCACCCUUACCUUGGAACAGAAAGGCCAAUAUGAAAGGUAUUCAACAAGUGAACGUUGCUGAUUGCGCAGCGUUCGAUUUCUUAUCUCUCUUUUUUUGCUGCAAAUAUUUAACAAACAAAAGCUCAAUCGACCAUGUAAAACCGUGUAUGCACCGAUCCGUGUUUCGGCCUACAUUCAGCAGUUAUCAACGCUUUAUCUAGACCUCAUGUGGAACAAUUCCACAGUGUCCCAUUUACGAAUACAAGUUCGUUUUUUCGAAAAUUCAGCAGAAAAGCAAGAAAGUGUCUCGUAUGCACCGAUGUCAUGCACUUCAACCAUUAUGCAGGAAGUGAAUACUCCUCGCCGGAUUGAGCAAUUUUAUACCUAUCAGUUGUGUGAUUACUUCUUGAAUCGGUUCCAAUUCGGUUGGAAACCUGAUCGGAGAAUAACGUAACCCAUAUAUGACCGACAUGGCAGUCAACCUAUGAACAGAAAGUGUUUGGGGUCAAUUCGAUUCGUGCCGUUAAUCAACGAACGGCAAACUCGUUCAUUUGAAAUCGGGUUCGAACUAUUCAUUUCGCGACAUAUAAGUUUUUUAAGUGAUAGCCGGUUCAAUGGGCUGACAUUUAUCAGCAACGACAACGAUCACCAAAAGUGUAUAAUUGCAGUUACGUGAGCGCUAGGUCGCUUUCUAUCGUUUUAUCAUCGAAAAUCGUGCAACAUUCCGUUGCCCGCCGUGGCGAGCGCACUUUCGCUGUUCUGGAAAACCGAGCAACGUGCACUUGGCCUGCGUUCCGCGUGCUGUUGCCUAUCAAAAACUGACAGGAAGUGACGCCGGUCUGACAACUGACAACACUGUCAACUUUAGCCGCAUCAUCGCACAUUCUCUCUCGGAUACAUCUACUGGAAUUUCCGGUAAAAGUCACCGUACGACGUAUUAAAAGAUAUCAUCGAAAUGGCAUUGUGUCCGCGAGAUAACUGUAGAAACACUGGAAGUCUUAAAACAGUGCAAUGAUUCCUCCUGGGAUCAUCGACAUCGAAGCUCUACCGGCACUUUCCCCAUUCGAUCAGUCGUUAUUAGACUGCGUAACUUUCAGUAUUUAUAGCAAAUGCAAAUUCCAUAAAUAAAAGAAAGCAAUUAUGUUAGAAAACAUUAAUAGCAUUUUAAGUUUAGUUUUGCUAGAAUGAUUCUUCUAAUUGGCGAAAGAAAUUUAAAACUCAUCAGUUUAACUAUAGCUAUAGUAUACUUUAAAGGUGCUAGAAAAAUUAUUGAACAUAGCACGCCGUCAGGUUUAAAAUUGUUAAUGAUUUCCUGGUUUCGUACCACUUCAUUUCGGUAGAAUAAAUGUAGUAUAUUAUAAAUUAUAAUAUAUGCUCUACGUCACACACUUCUUAACUUUUGUAUUAUAAAUCAUGUGUAGCUUAAUCGAUACCGGGAAAACAGUGAUAUUAUUGAUGGAAUUAGUUGAUACCGCGGAACAACAUUUGUUUCUACAAUAGUUCGUCACGGAGCUAAUUUACUUUCAGUAUUUAUUUAAUAUGUGUGGGUAAGGGUUUGGAAUCAAUUUACCAUAGAUUUGAUGUACUUCCUAUGGCUUUAUUAUGUAAAAAUUAAUGUAGAAUUAAAUAUAAUUGAACGAGAAUU